rnacentral:lncRNA from 1 species
GUCUGGGGUUUGUAUGUCUGUUUUAAUCAGUUUUAUUAAGAUACAAUUUACAUACAAUAAAUUUACCUCUUUUAAAUGUACAAAUUGAUGAGUAUUGACAAAUGUAUAACCAUCUCCACAAAGGCAAUGUAGAAAAUUUUCAUCACCCCUUAAAGUCCUUUUACACUUUUUUUUGAGACUGCCUCAGUAGUAACCACUGCUAAAUUUAUCAGAGAACUGCACACCUGGAUUGUAUUUUGACAGAACUUCCUUCCAACCCAAUUGCUUUUAAUAAUUUUUUUAUGAUAAAUUUUUACCCAAAAUGUUAUAGAAUUUAUUUACAAAGAAAUUUCGUAAGUUGUAUUUCUCCUACUGGUGUGGUAUUAUGCUAAGGAAACAGGUCUGGAGUCAUGAAAUCCUUAGGUGUCUAAUUUUUCUAACCUGUAAGUUUCUGUGCUACUGCAGAUCUCAGUUACUGUCUCUGGUGGUGGGUGUGUGCUGCGGAAGAGUCAGAGGUAAGGCACUAGUCCAUUUCCUUCCAGGACAGUUGAGAAAGAAGGAAAUGAACUCCAGUCAUCACAAAUCCACUGUUGAUGAUUCCUCUGGCCAGGUCUCCCCUUUAAAUCCUUAGGGAGAAGCAACACUGAGAAAAGAUAACUUCUUCUUUUUUUUUUUUUUUUGAGACGGAGCCUUCCUCUGUCGCCCAGGCUGGAGUGCAGUGGCGCGAUCUGGGCUCACUGCAAGCUCCGCCUCCCGGGUUCACACAAUUCUUCUGCCUCAGCCUCCCGAGUAGCUGGGACUACAGGUGCCCGCCACCUCGCCCGGCCAAUGUUUUUGAAUUUUUUAGUAGAGACGGGGUUUCAUCGUGUUAGCCAGGAUGGUCUUGAUCUCCUGACCUUGUGAUCCACCCGCCUCGGCCUCCCAAAGUGCUGGGAUUACAGGCGUGAGCCACCACGCCCGGCCAAAAGACAACUUCUUUAGUUGUAAUCCCCCAUCCCUGAGAGUAGAAGAGGCAGAAGGCCAAAAAGUCGACCACACAUGUUUGCAGCUCCUCAUCCCAGCAAGAUUUCUGUGCUGCCCUGGUGUUACCCUGCAGAUGCCACCUUUUCCCAGUUUUCUACUGGAUUAUUGGUCUUUCUCUUAAUGAUUUGUAAAAGCUCAUAAUAUUAUGAAACUUCAUACAAUAUCUGAGACCUGGGCUCAAAAUACAGUCAUGCUUCACCUAACAGUGGAGGUCACUGUUUGAACAGCAUAGAGUGUACUCACACAAACCUAGAUGGCAUAGCCUGCUACACGCCUAGGGUGUGUGGGAUAGUCUAUUCUUCCUAGGGAUAAACCUGUACAGCAUGCUACUGAACACUAGGCAAUUGUAGCACAAUGGUAAGUAUUUGUGUAUCUAAAUGUGUCUAAACAUAGAAAAGGUACAGUAAAAACACGGUAUUAUAGUUUUUUGGGACCCCAUUUUAUAUUUGGUCCAUGAAUGACUGAAAUGUUAUUAUGCAACACAUCAUGGUGUUUUCUCCCUAGUUAUUCUUUUUUUUUUUUUUUUUUUUUUUUUUUUUUUUGAGAUGGAGUCUUGCUCUGUCGCCCAGGCUGGAAUGCAGUGGCGCGAUCUUGGCUCACUGCAACCUCCACCUCCCAGGUUCAAGCAAUUCUCAUGCCUCAGCCUCCCCAGUAGCAGGGACUACAGGUAUGUGCCACCACACCAACUAAUUUUUGUAUUUUUAGUAGAGACGGGGUUUCACCGUGUUGGACAGGCUGGUCUCAAACUCCCAACCUCAGGUGAUCCACCUGCCCCAUGGGAUUACAGACGUGAGCCACUGCGCCCGGCCCCUAGUUAUUCUUUGGAUUUAGUUUAUGAUUUCUAAAUGUAAUUUUUAAAUGUUUCAUCUAAUUAAAUGAUUUAUCUAAUUAAAUUUAACAAUCCUUUAUGUUUUCUGGGUUGUGAGUCAUACCUAUAAAAGUCCUCCCCACUUCAAGAUUAUUUUUAAAUCCCCUGCAUAUUCUUCUAGCUCUUCUGUGACUACAUCUAUCAGAAUUAAUUUUGUUGUAAAGAAUGAGGUAGGAGUCCAACUUUUUUAAUGUGAUUCUCAAGUUUUUACAAUAUGUUGAAUAAUCCAUCUUUUCCCCAUUGAUUUAAGAUGCCAUAUUUAUCCUAUACUAAGUUCCUGUACAUAUUUAGAACUACAUCUGGACUUUCCGUUCCAUUGUUCUACUUGUUCAAUCACAUACAAAUAUGUUUGUAGAGACAGGGUUUCGCCAAGUUGCCCAGGCUAGUCUUGAACUCCUGGGCUCAAGCAAUCCUUCUGCCUUGGCCUCCCAGGGUAUUGGGAUUAUAGGCGUGAGCCACCACACCCACCCCUAUUGUUGCCAUUGUUCUAGUUGCUGUGAUAGAGGAAAUGUUGGGAGGUGGUGUAUCUGCCACCUCUGUGUCCUGUGUCAUAUCCCUGGGCCUUCCCUCUGACCCAGCAGCAUCUGAGGGUCUACUCACUUUGCACUGAUAGUGUCUUGCUUCAAUUGCACAAUACACAUGUUCACUUUCUGUCCUGGGGUGUUUGCAGUGCCUGGGGUGAGACACUGAGGUAAGCCUGCUUGGAAUACCCACAUGCUAGUCUAGAAGUGGGGGAGGUGUCGCUUUCUGGGGUGAUCCUCAACCAGUGAGCGUUGGACACCAGUGGAUAAAUGCCUCUCACUAUCAAUCCUCAAGUGGACAAUACUGAGAAGAGGCUCUUGGGCUCUUCAGAAGAUUCCAGUGGGCUCAUGUCCAGCUGCCCACCACAGUGCUCAACUCAGCAAAACACCCUGGUACUGGUUUUUCCCAUGGCGCAUUGGGCCUGCUUCCUAGGGCCACCUCCUACAUAAAUGAUGUGCAUAGAAGGCCUUAUUUCAGGCUCUGCUUUCAGGUCUGGUCCAGGAUAAAACAAGCGACCAGAAGUCCCUAGAAAGCAGCCUCAGGGAACAAAAUUACCCCCUAGGGAUGGAUGGCAACAAGGACUCCCUUGCUGGUGAUAGGUAGGCAGUGAGAACCCUUAGAACGCCACAGCUCCACAAUUCCUAAGACCUUCCCCUGCCAUGUGGAAUGAGGUUUAGAAAGAAAUGAGGCACUAGUGGACGCCAGCAUUCCAGCACUUGAAAGGUUUGGGGCAAUGCUAAUUAUGUGGAUUGUGAAGUUAAUUGGCUUCUCUUAGCUGCCUUAGAAGAUUUGCAAGGAGAAAAUGAGAGGCUACGGUUCAGGGCAAGCUGUGAAACCCUGAUGACAGGGUUUAAGCCACUCUCAUUUAUCACAGCCAGCUGGAAGGCUGUGCUGAAAGCCAAUUCCAGGAUCUGAUCGAAAGGGUGGGCCAACCAUGGAGGAGAUGGAGUGAGCACAUCUAGCAGUUCUGCUCUGCUAACUUCUGACACUGACAGGGACGGGGUAGGCCUUGGGAUGUGGACAUUUGAGAAUAAGAAACUCCCAAUGCCCGCGAGCGCUCUUGAGAAGGAGAACAGCCCCUCUUAUUAGAAGACCUCACAUGAGGCAGGCGCUUCACAAUAUUUUUUAAAUUAUUGUGGUAAGUUAUACAUAACAUAAAAUUUUUUACCAUUUUAACCAAUUUUAGGUGUGUAAUUCAAUGGUAUUAAAAACAUUCAUUCAUAUUGCCGGGCGCAAUAGCUCAUGCCUGUAAUCCCAGCACUUUGGGAGGCCAAGGCAGGCCAAUCAUUUGAGGUCAGGAGUUCGAGACCAGCCUGGCCAACAAGGUGAAACCCUGCCUCUGAAAAAAAAAAAAAUACAAAAAUUAGCUGGGCGCAGUGGUGCGCACCUGUAGUCCCAGUUACUCAGGAGGCUGAAGCAGGAGAAUUGCUUGAACCUGGAAAGAGGAGGUUGCAGUGAGCUGAGAUUGCACCACUGCACUCCAGCCUGGGCAACAGAAUGAAACUCCAUCUCAAAAAAAAAAAAGUUUGG